UCAAAAAAAAAAAAAAAAAAAAAGAGGUCGAGACCAUCCUGGUCAACAAGGUGAAACCCCAUCUCUACUAAAAAUACAAAACUUAGCUGGGCAUGGGGUGCAAGCCUGUAGUCCCAGCUACUUGGGAGGCUGAGGCAGGAGAAUUGCUUGAACCCAGGAGGCGGAGGUUGCGGUGAGCCGAGAUCGUGCCAUUGCACUCCAGUCUGGGUAAUGAGAGCGAAACUCUGUCUCAAAAAAAAAAAAAAUUUAGAAGCCACCGACAUGGUGCUUUCAGUACAUUUAACCCUCUGACAUGGGCACUGUCAGCCUUGCUUUUGAGGCACACGUCCCUCAGUUGGUGAGUGUGGGACCCAGACCUCGUGUCACCUCUGGAGUCCGGGCCUGGAACCCCAGCCCGCUGCUGCUACAUGGUGUGAUCUCGCAUCUAUUGCCAUCAGGGCUUGAAAGUGGACUGUUUUUCUUUAUACUGGGAAUUGCCCAUUAGAAGAUGGGAAAAAUGUUCCCAGUUUAACAGUGACAAAAAUGCUAAGAUAUUUAGGAAUGCAGCUACUGAGAAAGAGCAGGACUUGUGGAGGACACGAGAAGCGGAACUGAGAGGACACUUGUGGUGUGAGGUUAGGAGACCAGGCCCUCGUGGGCCCGGGGAGCUCCUGGAGAGGUCCCGUGAGUGCUUGUGGAGCUGGAGGCAGUGAAUUUAAGAUCCACUGCACGCAGGAUGGCACUGUUGCUGAGAGAACGGAGGAAGAUGCAGAGUUGGGAGGAGAGUUGCCGCUCUGGUUUUAACACCCUGAUGUGGCUGAGGUCCGGUGUGGUCCGGUCCGGAUAACUGAAGUGUGGGUGGAACAGGAUGGGGUGUGCAGAGUGGAGUGCACCGCGGCCCUCGCAGGGGCCGGCUUAUCCAUGGGUAAGAGAUGGAGGGACCAUGCAUGGCGGCCAUGGAGUCUUGGGCUUGAGGAACAGUUUGCCCACGUCGUCCCCGCCUGUGCCCUGCUGGCGGUGGAAGUUGUGGUGCUAACAGUGGGCUGUGCUUCCAGAAUGUGUCCUGUAUGGGCAGAAAUCACAGAAAACCCUGGAAUUGGAAUAGUGUAAAUGCUUGGCCCACCCCUUCUGGGAAUAGUCCAGAAAACUCUCAAUACUCUUACAUUUUUAUUUAACAAAAAGCUCCUCUCCCUGCUCGUGGUGUGUGGCAGGAGAAGCCCUGGCUGUGGUGCCCUUCUCCUUGGCCAGGGAGGUGGAGAGAGCGACAGCCUUCCCCUCUGUGUUGGGGUGAACCACGGCUUGUGGGGAGAGAGAUCCACCGGUCCCCACACACGGUCUGUGCUGUGUGGCAUGUGUGGCCUGUUUCUGUUUGUGUGUGUAUAGUGUUUAGUCUUUGUCCCUAGAAUAGAAGAGAAUGACUGUUAAAUGGGUGAAGCAUAACUUUAAAAAAAACACAUCAGGAAAGGCGUGCUUGGCCGAAAACAGAUCUGAUUCCCAGCAGCCCUCGAGUCAUCCUAACUUGCCCUGCUUACACUUUUUUUGUUCUCUUUGCUUUGAAGUCGCAUCUGGGACAACGCCUCUGGCCAGUGCCUGAAGACACUCAUCGAUGAUGACAACCCCCCAGUGUCUUUUGUGAAGUUCUCCCCCGAACGGCAAAUACAUCCUGGCGGCCACGCUGGACAACACUCUGAAGCUCUGGGACUACAGCAAGGGGAAGUGAGCUCCCACCAGCUUGGGCCCAAGUUGGGCACUGUCCCUGGGUCAUAGCCCCUGGCGAGGACAGAGCUGGCCCUGGUGAUGACGAAGGAGGGGGAGCUCAGAGAGCCAUCGCCACUGGGUUUGGUGCUGAUUCCUG